AACGGUAACAGGUCUUCGGACGCUGACGAGUGGCGAACGGGUGAGGAGAGACAUCGGAACGUGCCCAGUCGUGGGGGAUAACUACUCGAAAGAGUAGCUAAUACCGCAUACGAUCUGAGGAUGAAAGCGGGGGACCUUCGGGCCUCGCGCGAUUGGAGCGGCCGAUGGCAGAUUAGGUAGUUGGUGGGAUAAAAGCUUACCAAGCCGACGAUCUGUAGCUGGUCUGAGAGGACGACCAGCCACACUGGGACUGAGACACGGCCCAGACUCCUACGGGAGGCAGCAGUGGGGAAUUUUGGACAAUGGGCGAAAGCCUGAUCCAGCAAUGCCGCGUGCAGGAUGAAGGCCUUCGGGUUGUAAACUGCUUUUGUACGGAACGAAAAAGCUUCUCCUAAUACGAGAGGCCCAUGACGGUACCGUAAGAAUAAGCACCGGCUAACUACGUGCCAGCAGCCGCGGUAAUACGUAGGGUGCGAGCGUUAAUCGGAAUUACUGGGCGUAAAGCGUGCGCAGGCGGUUAUGUAAGACAGAUGUGAAAUCCCCGGGCUCAACCUGGGAACUGCAUUUGUGACUGCAUGGCUAGAGUACGGUAGAGGGGGAUGGAAUUCCGCGUGUAGCAGUGAAAUGCGUAGAUAUGCGGAGGAACACCGAUGGCGAAGGCAAUCCCCUUGGACUGUACUGACGCUCAU
rnacentral:rRNA from 1 species